ensembl:lncRNA
CUUGAUGCGUAAGAAAUAAUUGUUCUUUAUCUAUUUAUGCAGUUAUUAAAGCUGAAACCAGCAGAGCAAGGUCGGGAGUAUGUAGAGAUGACCUUUGUGGAGCACAAAAGCUGUGAAUGUAGACUAAGAAAGCCCGCAGUGAAACACGACAGGCGGAGGCCAAAAGGACGGGGAAGGAAACGGAAGGAGAAACAGCGAGUAAAGGACUGCAAUGGGUGUCAGCCUCCUCGAAGAUAAACCCAGCUCUGCCCUGUCCUCUGCUCAUGCUGUGCAGCUAGCCACCACCCGCCCAUCCUGCUCUUAAUGGAUCCUGUGUCACCUCCACCGCCCAUGUCUGAGAUGAGGCACUGCCACAGUGACACGAAGGUCACACUAGCCACCAGGGGACAUUUCAUGUACCGGAACCGCCUGUUGUGAGGUGACACCCUCUGACAUGCUUCUGUUUGGAAGCACAGUGGGGAACCAAAUUCAAUGUCUGAAGUAGGAAUUAGUCUACAGGACACUGGC